rnacentral:rRNA from 1 species
AACUCUUCGCAAUGCGCGAAAGCGCGACGAGGGGAGNCCGAGUGCCCUUCCUUUUGGGAGGGCUUUUCCGGAGUCUAAGAAGCUCCGGGAAUAAGGUGGCAAGACUGC